ACGUAGGCAGCAAGCGUUGUUCGGAAUUACUGGGCGUAAAGAGUGCGUAGGCGGUUUGGCAAGUUUGGUGUGAAAUCUCCCGGCUUAACUGGGAGGGUGCGCCGAAAACUGCCAGGCUAGAGUGUGGGAGAGGAAAGUGGAAUUCCUGGUGUAGCGGUGAAAUGCGUAGAUAUCAGGAGGAACACCUGCGGUGUAGACGGCUUUCUGGACCACUACUGACGCUGAGGCACGAAAGCGUGGGGAGCAAACAG
rnacentral:rRNA from 1 species